GAAUGUCUCAGAUUUAAUUAAUAAUCUAGACGUAGAUAAAACAUGAGAGUCAUAUGCCAACCACCCAGAAAUUUUGUAUAAUCCUUGGGCAAUUAGAAACAUGUGCCAAAUUCCUUCCAUACAGAAGGUCACUGUGGUAGGCAGCCUGUCACGUGGCUUUCUGGAAUCCCCACCUUGUGGCAUUCAGCCCUUCUGGAACACACCCCACCCUCACCUUGGGUGUGGGCGGGGUAUUGUGACUCACUUCUAAGGAACAGAACACAGCACCAGGGAUGAGGUGUCAUUUCUGAAAUUAGGUUGCAAGACUUCCACCUUGCAGGCUCUCUCACGUUCUCUCUCUCCCUCUGAGCCCUCGCUUGCCUGGAGGGACGCGAACUGCCAUGUUGGGAGGAGCCCUGUGGACAAGACAGCGCAGCAAGGAACUGAUGUUUUUGGCCAACAGCUAACAAAGACCCCAGGCGACUCACCAGCCACGAUUCUCUGUAUGUCUUCUUGAACAAGAGCAUGCAUGCACAGGAGAUAUGGAACUAUCUUUUAGAUGCACAAGAAAGGCAUGCGAUACAGUUUCUUUACCAGCUAUAAAUGCUCAUUUACUCUGUUGUGGACAGCAAGGACAUCAUCACAGUGGAAGAAAAUGACAGCCAAAGAUUCUACUUAACAUUACAAUCUCCAAGUCAUACAAACAGAGCCUAAUACCAUGUUGGAGACAAAUUAUAAGAAACUUAAACUUUGAGAUUUAAAAAAAUAAAAGAAAAAUUAAAAUGAAGACAAAUUAGAAAUAGAGAUCAGAAAAAUUGCAGAGCUGCUAUAACAUGCUGGAUAAGGAGGCCAUGUUUUCAAA